rnacentral:lncRNA from 1 species
AUGGGGGAAGGCGCUAGGCGGGCUCUCGGAAAAGGAAAAGCGCUCCCGGAGCGGGGAGUCCUGCAGAAACUGGGGGCGAGGCGAGCUCAGCAGCCCCCGGGACGCUGCCCACACGGGCUGACCCCCGGAGAGCAGCUCGGGGAGGCCGGGAACAAGCGGAAGGCGCCCGCGCCGCUCGGGGACCCCGGGAAGAGCCUUCCAGGAGGGGCUCCGAGGCGACGGAGCUGGGAAGGGGCCCGGAAUGCCAGGUGGAGGGGCAGGAAGCCCCGAGACUCUGAGAGGCCAUGCACUCAGCAGAGGCGGCAAACGGGCAAAGGGAACACGUUAGGAAGGUUCCGGGGAAGCGGAAAGUGGCCAUUGCAGAAAGCCAAGUCCCCGUCCGAGGGAGGGGAAAGGCGGACAGCGGCCGACAGGCAGCACAAACAGCGGCCCGAAGGACUUCUGUCUGAGCCGGGAGGAAAGGCUGCUGGCCAGCUGCAAGCACCGGCGAACGCCUCACCACGCCUGGGAGCCUCACGAGCCCGGAAGCAGACUGGGGGAGGGGGGGCUGUAGUGACGACGACGGGAGCGGAAGAAGCCACUAGUGCGGUCGCCGCUCGCAGAGCAGGGAAGGGCAGGCGUGGAGGCAGGCGAGGGGGAGUGACUGGCGCGCUUGUGCAGGAAGCGAGGAAGGCAGGCCCCGCGCCGGGAGGGACUCGGGAGCCCUUUCGGAUCCCCAAAGACCCCCUGUCCGCGCCUCGCCCUCGGCGCUCUUCCCGCCUGCGCUACCCAAUAGAGGCUGCCUCCUGGAGGUCCCCCCUCCAGUGCCCGCCACAAGAGGCUUCUUUCCUCCAGGAGGGCCGACGGCCCGGGGCCCGCCGGCCCUCGCUGCUGCAUCUCCCGGCUCGCCGGCGGCGCAGGCCGAGGCUGCCCGAGGAGCCUGCCACUCACGGCCCGGACGGGAAGGAAGCGGCCGCCGCCGCGCCUGUCCCUGUCUCAGCCCAGGCGGAAGCGCGGAGCGUCUGCGCCGCUGGCCAGGGCACAGGCUGA